GAUUUUAAAUGGAGGUAAACAGUAAUAUGGCAGAGUCGUCAAUAUUUGAUCGCUGUUUGCGGGAAUUACGGUCAACGAUGUGCAAAUGAUUGUCAGGAUGUGCACUACAACACCGCAGAGCAAACUUGAGAAAGGUUUCAAGCUUUAUGCAUUUUCGUACUUGUGCAAUUAUAAAGGUAACAUUAUGUGAUUCAGAGCUAGAAAAUUAUGCAUGUUACUCCAUUCUGGAGCGGACAUUCAUCAGAAAAUCCAUGCCUAUCAUGCCAUCAUCUGCUGGUUAAUAGCUCCUGCUCUUCUGUGGCUGACAGUGGGAUUUGCAAACAUUUGGUUGCUUUGCUUUUCCAGACAGCCCAAUACUCUGAAAUGUGUAAUUUGCAUGAACCAUGAACAAUGGUUUGGAAUGGAUCAAUUAUGUGUUAAGUUCCAUGAAACAGAGGGGUGAUUUAUUUAUCUAUUUAUUUAAUACGUAUCAGCCCAAAUACCUCUCUAUGCACAAGUAACAGAAGAAGCACCGUGCUGAGAAAACAACUGAUUCAAUGGUAUUGUUUCUGUUCAUCUGAAUAAAAUAUUUUUUCAAAA
rnacentral:lncRNA from 1 species